rnacentral:tRNA from 1 species
GCCGCUGUAGCUCAGUUGGUAGAGCGACGCACUCGUAAUGCGUAGGUCGUGGGUUCGUUUCCCACCAGCGGCU